rnacentral:rRNA from 1 species
GAUGAACGCUGGCGGCGUGCCUAAUACAUGCAAGUCGAGCGAACAGACGAGGAGCUUGCUCCUCUGACGUUAGCGGCGGACGGGUGAGUAACACGUGGAUAACCUACCUAUAAGACUGGGAUAACUUCGGGAAACCGGAGCUAAUACCGGAUAAUAUAUUGAACCGCAUGGUUCAAUAGUGAAAGACGGUUUUGCUGUCACUUAUAGAUGGAUCCGCGCCGCAUUAGCUAGUUGUUAAGGUAACGGCUUACCAAGGCAACGAUGCGUAGCCGACCUGAGAGGGUGAUCGGCCACACUGGAACUGGGACACGGUCCAGACUCCUACGGGAGGCAGCAUUAGGGAAUCUUCCGCAAUGGGCGAAAGCCUGACGGAGCAACGCCGCGUGAGUGAUGAAGGUCUUCGGAUCGUAAAACUCUGUUAUUAGGGAAGAACAAAUGUGUAAGUAACUAUGCACGUCUUGACGGUACCUAAUCAGAAAGCCACGGCUAACUACGUG